rnacentral:rRNA from 1 species
CACGUAGGGUGCGAGCGUUGUCCGGAAUUAUUGGGCGUAAAGAGCUCGUAGGUGGUUUGUCGCGUUGUUCGUGAAAACUCACAGCUCAACUGUGGGCGUGCGGGCGAUACGGGCAGACUGGAGUACUGCAGGGGAGACUGGAAUUCCUGGUGUAGCGGUGGAAUGCGCAGAUAUCAGGAGGAACACCGGUGGCGAAGGCGGAUCUCUGGGCCAUUACUGACGCUGAGGAGCGAAAGCGUGGGGAGCGAACAGG